AAUGGAAGAAGUUGAGAGAUAUAGAAAGGAAGAAGGGGAGGUUAAGCUUUCACAGGUGAACAAAUGUUUAAAAGGGGUGUAUAUGCAUCUAAGUAGUUGCAGUGGUAGCUUCUAAACACAUCUUCUCCAGACAGAAGAGUUCAGACCUUCCCUUAAG